rnacentral:rRNA from 1 species
AACGAACGCUGGCGGCAGGCCUAACACAUGCAAGUCGAGCGAGGUAGCAAUACCUAGCGGCGGACGGGUGAGUAACGCGUGGGAACGUGCCCCUUGGUACGGAAUAGCCCCGGGAAACUGGGAGUAAUACCGUAUGAGCUCUACGGAGGAAAGAUUUAUCGCCAAGGGAUCGGCCCGCGUUGGAUUAGGUAGUUGGUGGGGUAAUGGCCUACCAAGCCGACGAUCCAUAGCUGGUUUGAGAGGAUGAUCAGCCACACUGGGACUGAGACACGGCCCAGACUCCUACGGGAGGCAGCAGUGGGGAAUCUUAGACAAUGGGCGCAAGCCUGAUCUAGCCAUGCCGCGUGAGCGAUGAAGGCCUUAGGGUUGUAAAGCUCUUUCAGCGAGGAAGAUAAUGACUGUACUCGCAGAAGAAGCCCCGGCUAACUCCGUGCCAGCCGCCGCUGUAACAC